rnacentral:misc_RNA from 1 species
GAUUUAUUGGUAAAUAUAGUCUUCUCUCUUUCCUCUAGGAUGUCAAAUAUCCAUAAUCUCUGAAUGGAUAUUCGUUUCUGUGUAAAAGGAUUAUGAAUUUGGUAAAGUUCUGAUGAGUUGAAUCAAACAGGAAGUUUUUGCAAUGUGAAAUGUCGAUACUUGUACGAAUGUCAUUAAUUUUUUAAAUUUGAACAAAAUCUAUAUUUUUAUUCGAGUGUGGUUAAAUUUUUAUUUUAUUCUGUACUCUUGUCAUAGAAUGUGCUUACUUGUUUAUUUACAUACACACCUGUAUGGGUUUAUCUGCGACACCAUCUGAGUUAUUUACACUCCUGAGAAAAAAAUCAAUUUUAUAAACUGUUAUGUUACCAUUUUGUGGAGCACAUAACAAAGGCAACCAUUUUAUUUGUUGUGCUUUGAUUUUUUGAACUGCAUUUGUGAUUUAUAAAUGCGUACUUGUUUUACAGGUUAAGGGUAUAAAUCUCACCAUGAACUUUACUCC